GUAAAGGUUACCGAACCCUGUCAAACUCCGAAUGGAUAUACUGUAGAGCCUUGGAGUCAGACUACGAGUGAUAAGAUCCGUGGUCAAAAGGGAAACAGCCCAGACCACCAGCUAAGGUCCCCAAUGUCGUACUAAGUGGAAAAGGAUGUGGGGUUUCAUAAACAACCAGGAUGUUGGCUCAGAAGCAGCCACCAUUUAAAGAGUGCGUAAUAGCUCACUGGUCGAGAGACCCUGCGCCGAAGAUUCCCGGGGCUAAAGUACGAAACCGAAGCUGUGGCUGUAUACGUAAAGUAUACGGGGUAGGGGAGCGUUCCCAUAGGGUAGAAGUCGAACUGGAAGGUUCGGUGGACUUGUGGGAAGUGAGAAUGUUGGUAUGAGUAGCGAAAAGAAAGGUGAGAAUCCUUUCCACCGAAAGCAUAAGGAUUCCUGAGCAACGAUCGUCGUCUCAGGGUAAGUCGGGACCUAAUCCGAGGCAGAGAGCGUAGGAGAUGGACAACUGGUUGAUAUUCCAGUACCGGUAGUAAUUGUUUGAGCAAUGGAGUGACACAGAAGGGCAGGCAAGCAUGCGAAUGGAAGAGCAUGUGUAAGCGUGUAGGGUGGUGCAUAGGCAAAUCCGUGCACUGAAAGCCUGAGGCGUGAUGCGGAGUGAGCAGAGAUGCGAGCGAAGUUGUUGACCCCACACUGUCGAGAAAAGCUUCUAGUGAGAGAGCUACCGCCCGUACCGUAAACCGACACAGGUAUGCGGGGAGAGAAUCCUAAGGUGCGCGGGAGAACCCUCGUUAAGGAACUCGGCAAAAUGUACCCGUAACUUCGGGAUAAGGGUAGCCACUGUUGUGAAGUCCCAUGCGGAUGGAGCAUAGAGUGGUCGCAGAGAAGAGGCCCAAGCGACUGUUUACCAUAAACACAGGUGCCUGCUAAAGCGAAAGCUGACGUAUAGGUGCUGACACCUGCCCAGUGCCGGAAGGUUAAGGAAGGAUGUUCGGAUUAGUCCAAAGCAUUCGACUGAAGCCCCGGUGAACGGCGGCCGUAACUAUAACGGUCCUAAGGUAGCGAAAUUCCUUGUCGGGUAAGUUCCGACCCGCACGAAAGGUGUAACGAUUUGGGCACUGUCUCAACGAGGGACCCGGUGAAAUUGAAAUACCUGUGAAGAUGCAGGUUACCCGCGACUGGACAGAAAGACCCCAUGGAGCUUUACUGUAACCUGACAUUGGGUUUUGAUACAUUACGUACAGGAUAGGUGGGAGGCAUGGAAAGCUGGACGCUAGUCUGGCUGGAGCCGACGUUGGGAUACCACCCUUGAUGUAUUGAAAUUCUAACCGCGAGAGUAACGAAAUCCGGGACAGUGUCAGGCGGGCAGUUUGACUGGGGCGGUCGCCUCCGAAAGAGUAACGGAGGCGCCCAAAGGUUCCCUCAGCGCGGCCGGAAAUCGCGCGAAGAGUGUAAAGGCAGAAGGGAGCUUGACUGCGAGUCAAACACGACGAGCAGGUACGAAAGUAGGGCUUAGUGAUCCGGUGGUACCGAGUGGAAGGGCCAUCGCUCAACGGAUAAAAGCUACCCUGGGGAUAACAGGCUAAUCUCUCCCAAGAGUCCAUAUCGACGGGGAGGUUUGGCACCUCGAUGUCGGCUCAUCACAUCCUGGGGCUGAAGUCGGUCCCAAGGGUUGGGCUGUUCGCCCAUUAAAGUGGUACGUGAGCUGGGUUCAGAACGUCGUGAGACAGUUCGGUCCCUAUCCAUCGCGGGCGCAAGAGAUUUGAAGGGGGCUGCUCCUAGUACGAGAGGACCGGAGUGGACGAACCGCUGGUGUACCAAUUAUCCCGCCAGGGGUACAGUUGGGUAGCUACGUUCGGAAAGGAUAAACGCUGAAAGCAUCUAAGCGUGAAACCAGCCUUAAGAUGAGAUCUCUCAUAGAGCAAUCUAGUAAGACACCUUAAAGAAGAUGAGGUUGAUAGGUCGGGAGUGUAAGUACAGCAAUGUAUUGAGCGGACCGAUACUAAUAUGUCGAGGGCUUGACUUA
rnacentral:rRNA from 1 species